CCUANGGGAGGCAGCAGUGGGGAAUUUUGCGCAAUGGGCGAAAGCCUGACGCAGCAACGCCGCGUGAGUGAUGAAGGCCUUCGGGUCGUAAAGCUCUGUCAGUGGGGAAGAACCGCCGGGUGGCUAAUACCUGCCUGGUCUGACGGUACCCACAAAGGAAGCACCGGCUAACUCCGUGCCAGCAGCCGCGGUAAUACGGAGGGUGCAAGCGUUGUUCGGAAUUAUUGGGCGUAAAGCGCGUGUAGGCGGUUUGUUAAGUCUGGUGUGAAAGCCCUGGGCUCAACCUGGGAAGUGCAUUGGAUACUGGCAAACUUGAGUACGGGAGAGGAUAGUGGAAUUUCGAGUGUAGGGGUGAAAUCCGUAGAUAUUCGAAGGAACACCGGUGGCGAAGGCGGCUAUCUGGACCGAUACUGACGCUGAGACGCGAAAGCGUGGGGAGCAAACAGGAUUAGAUACCCUANUANUC
rnacentral:rRNA from 1 species